UUGAGAAAUCCCUUCAUCCAUCGUCUUCUCCGAAUCUCAUCCACACGCCACCGCCGUUCUCCCUCUCACUACCUUCCGUUCGAGAACGCCGUCGCACCACCACCAGUCGACUGCACAGCGCCGCUGCUGUCACUGUUCCGAGCAGCCCACGCCAUCUUACGCCGUGGAAUCACUGUGGCAGCGCCGCGACAGGCGCCUCGCCGUCGACGCUGCUGCCAUUCCGCCAUCGCCGCUGACCAGUUCGAGGAGCAGUUCAUCGAUCCUCUCCAAUCUCCAUCAACGGCUGUUCGGCAGAGACCCGAUUCACCCCGAACGGCCCCGAAACCAACCCGAACAGCCUCGAAACAACCCCGAACAGCCCCGAAAGAUAAGUUCUUUAUUCAAAUUAUGUUUCUUUCGUAUUUUGAUUUAUUUUCCGUGGGGUGUAUUCGGUUCAAAAGAUUGAAUUAUUGCAAGCAAGAGGUGAUUCAAUUGUUGAUUGCUCGAUUGUGUUAUUGAUUUAGUUCUCUGUGUGGGAGAUUGAUGUAUGACACUAUGCUAUGAUGACAAGAUGAUAAAGCUCAUAACUUAUGAUUGAAAGGGAAGGUCUAUACCUUCUGUCGAAGUUGAAAUGUGGUGUACACUACGGAAUUUGUUGGGCCGAAAGGAUGAGUUCCUCAGAUUUGGCAGCUUCGGUUUUCUUAGAUUGUAUGAGAGUGAAACAAAAAGGGUAACGGCUGGAUGGAAAUUCUUGAAGAUUCCUGCUGAAAAAAAAACGUGUAGCAAAGGAAGAGAGACACGUGUAGCAAAGGAAGAGAGAAGGAUUUGGCUCAAAGUCUAUCUCCCACAAUUUUAUUCAAUUUCAUUUGGACUCAUUUAUUUAUAUAGCCCAACUUGUAUCUUUUAUUUAUUUGAUUUAGUUCAUAGAACUAAAGUCAAAUUUGUAACAUAUAAACACUGAGCUUUAUUUAAUUGAGAAGUCCAGAUAUUUACUUCA